ACGGUUCGGUUUAAACAGUCAGACGACGAAUAGUCAGUCACAGGCGAUCCACACUCCAAUCCAGAAGGGGGCGCGCGCGGUAAUGCAACGCUGUUUGCUACCAGUAAAACGCGCAGAAGAAGAAGAGACGGUUGAUCGAGAAAUGACACCCAUGCCAGGCACCAGCGCUGGUACCCAUGCCAUCUGCCACUGACGUUUUGUUGGUCACAUGAUGCAGUCUCUAGGGACCUUCAUUCCGCUCUCAUCAUCUGGUGCGCACGGUAAUGGGCACCGGGAGGCUCUCAUUUACCGUCAAAAAACUCCGGGGCGACGGAUGCUGCAGGCAAGAGCAAAUCAGUUGAGAUGUCUUCACAUAUGCAUGUUAGAGUCGUCUGGUGGAUAAUAAAUGCUCAGAUAUUACAUCAAAUCUCUGCACCUACAUAUGAAUAACAGCCUGUGUGCAUAGAAAUGUUAAGAAGCAUUCCGUUGGUAAACAGAGCAAAGAAUUAAUUCAUUGUGCUGUCAUGAUGUACUGUGCAAUAUAUCAAACCCUUGCUUUGGUAUCAACUGUGAUAUUUAGAUAAUUAGGGGUGAAUUCUGGUUGAUUGGGACACUUUUUCCCAGUCAUCUCAAUGGCAAAAAGUGUCCCAAUCAAACUGAAUUCACCCUAUAAGGGCAAGUUGUCACAAUGGCUCUCUCAAGAAAUCAUAUUUUUGCAGGAUUUAGGUAAACAUGUGAACACUAUAAAACCACACUGAGAGACAAGAAUCAUAUAAUGAAGACAGAUUUGAACUGAAAUGCUGAACAAACUUUGUUCUCAAAAGAAGUCUUCAUUUUUUUUUUAUCAUUGUCACAUUGGGACAAGUUGUCAUAUGUGUUUUAUGUGUCAUUGGCCAAAUAUGAUGGUUUCAUACAGUAUGUUUUUUAUUUUGUUUUGUUUUAUUUAUUUUUUUAUGCACAUUUUUUAAAAUAUUACCUUUGGCUAUUCUUGCUAUUUAAUGUAUUGUUUUGUCUUCCAUAAUUGUUUUACUAUGAUAAAUGUUACAAAUUCCUUA